CCUGCAAAGUUUUUCUAUAUUUUCUUUUUCUUUUAUUUAUUAUAAAUGUGUGUAGAUUUAUAACAUUAUACUUAGUAUUAUAUUACCGUUGCAUCAAAUUACAAAAAAAAAAAAAAAACUAGUUAAGGCUGCUGUGAGGGUGUUUCUAACAGUGGCUAUGGAAGUGAUGGUAAAAAUUCUCUCUUUAACGGCCUUAAAAUUUUACCCAACUAUGACGACUUCCGCUUCUGAGAAACAAGGAAAUGUGAAAAGGGUCUAUAACAAAAUAAACAACAAAAAUGACAGCGGUAAAACGCAAUUGAUCACAGUGAUGAGGCAGCAGGUCUGCGAUUCAUCGACAUCAUGUCGACAGAUGAGAAAACCAAACCAUGUUAUUAAGAGUACGAGAGAGAUGGACAGACGGAUGGAGAGACAGAUAUUGUUCUGCGCAGAUGUGAUUGUGAUGCUGUUGAUCAGGAGCGUGAGCUGCUGAACCUGAACCUGAGCCAGAACUGGAGGAGGAGACGUGUUACUCCAGACAGACAGCGGCGCGGCUUCAUUCUGCUCGAAAACACCAGG